rnacentral:rRNA from 1 species
AUUGACGCUGCGGCAGGCUUAACACAUGCAAGUCGAGCGGGCGAGGUUGCUUCGGUAACUGAGCUAGCGGCGGACGGGUGAGUAAUGCUUAGGAAUCUGCCUAUUAGUGGGGGACAACAUUCCGAAAGGAAUGCUAAUACCGCAUACGCCCUACGGGGGAAAGCAGGGGAUCUUCGGACCUUGCGCUAAUAGAUGAGCCUAAGUCAGAUUAGCUAGUUGGUGGGGUAAAGGCCUACCAAGGCGACGAUCUGUAGCGGGUCUGAGAGGAUGAUCCGCCACACUGGGACUGAGACACGGCCCAGACUCCUACGGGAGGCAGCAGUGGGGAAUAUUGGACAAUGGGCGCAAGCCUGAUCCAGCCAUGCCGCGUGUGUGAAGAAGGCCUUUUGGUUGUAAAGCACUUUAAGCGAGGAGGAGGCUACUUGGAUUAAUACUCUAGGAUAGUGGACGUUACUCGCAGAAUAAGCACCGGCUAACUCUGUGCCAGCAGCCGCGGUAAUACAGAGGGUGCGAGCGUUAAUCGGAUUUACUGGGGCGUAAAGCGUGCGUAGGCGGCUUCUUAAGUCG